UACGAAGGGUGCAAGCGUUAAUCGGAAUUACUGGGCGUAAAGGGUGCGUAGGCGGUUAUUUAAGUCUGCCGUGAAAUCCCCGGGCUCAACCUGGGAAUGGCGGUGGAUACUGGAUAGCUAGAGUUCGGCAGAGGGAAGCGGAAUUUCGGGUGUAGCGGUGAAAUGCGUAGAUAUCCGAAGGAACAUCAGUGGCGAAAGCGGCUUCCUGGACCAGAACUGACGAUCAGGCACGAAAGUGUGGGGAGCAAACAGG
rnacentral:rRNA from 1 species